AAUCCUGGAAGGAUACAGACAUGUUCAGCAGCUUCAGGCGCAUCAACUGCACAGAAAGUGACCCUGGUCAGUCGGAGACAUCCAUCUGGCAGGAGCCACCCUGGAGCAGUGGGGGAUUCUGUUUUUCCAGCAGUGAUGCAGAAAAGGGGAAAAAGUUAACAUUUGAAAUUCAAAAUAUGAUUUUUGCAGCAAGACAACUGGUUUGGAAGCAAGACUUUGUCAAAGAGAGAUUUUCUAAAUUCCUUUAGCAGUUAAAGAACAAAACUUGGAGGAUUAAGAUCACAAUAUAAGGAGGACAUAAUUUCCUCUUGUGUCAUUUGGUGAAGAAAUCCAUGCCUUAGGCUGGCAGUACAGCAGAGGGACAGAAAGCCCUUUGCUAUCUGAGGAUUAUGAAAAGAAAAGAGAGAGGGAGGGACAGAUGCUAAGAAUGAGGGGUUCAUGUUUGGCUCUCUAGGAGCCAAUUACCCUAUAGACUGUCCCCACAUCAACGUAAUUAGACUGUGCAGUGAGGGUGGGCAGAGGAAGGACAAACUGAUUUCACUAUUGUUUUAAUUUGGAUGUAUUUAACUAUAAGCCAUAAUUUUUUCACAUUUAUGGUUCAUUUUUCUUUGUAUCAAUUAAGAUAAGCUACAUAAUUUGCAGAACCUAGGGUAAAAUGAAAAUGCAGUGUCUCUUGUUCAAAACUUAACAAAAUUCAAGAUGGCAAGAUGGCCCUUAAACCAAGGGCCAGGCCCUUUGAAAUGAGAGGCCCUGGGUGGCUGACUGCACAGGUCCCAUGCCCAUGAAGCUGACCCUGGUCUCAAUAUUUUUGGCCCAUUUUAUAUUCGGUUGCAAAUGUUUUCUUAGUCCAGGGGUGGGCAAGCUUUUUCUGUGAAGGGCCAGACAGUAAAUAUUUCAGGUUCUGGGGGCCAUGUGGUCUCCGUGGCAACUACUCAACUCUGCUUUUUGUAGCACAAAAGCAGCUAUUGAUAGUACAUGAACAAAAUGAAUGUGGCCGUACUACAAUAAAAUUUUAUUUACAAAAACAGGCUGCAGGCCAUAGUUCGCCAGCUUAUGUCCCAGACAAUCACUUUCUUUCAGACUCGUUUUUUUCUAAAUUUCUGUAUUCACUGUCAUGUCUUUCUCACGACAAGAUAAUAUACAAAUCUGUAUUUUUUUUCCUGAUAGCUGAAGUUUUGGUGUACUUUGCUAUUCAUUUCCUGUUAUUUAUUGCCGAUAAUGCAGACUGGAAAAAUUGCGCCUUGGGAGAUAUAUGGAGGCAUUCUUUGUGACCUAAUAAAUAUUUCAUGGGCAUUUGAAAGGAAAGUUUAUUCUCUGUAGGGUAUAGGGUUCAAAAUAUAUUUUGAAUAUAUCCUUGAAUGCUUAAGUAUUCAGAGAUGUCUUUCAGAUUCUGCUGAGAUACAGUUUUUAUCUUCAGCAGUCAAAAAAAUUGGAGUUAUCUUAAACAUUUCUCAAAUAUUGAAGCCCUGUUGCAUUCCUAGGAUAAAUUUUACUUGGUCUUAGGAUAUUAUUCCUUUACUAUACUGUUAGUUUUUUAACAAUAUGUAUUUAAUUUAAAAUUUAAAGUUUUUAUUCAGAAGUUGGUGGGAAGUUUUGUGUAUGAAGGUAUUAUCUUUGGUAGAUAUGGUUAUUAGAUCUAUGCUAGCUUCAUAAAGUGAAUUGAGAAACUAUUUUUUCCUGCUGUCUGUAUGCGUUUAACACUAGUACUGAAAUUUUCUGUUCCUUGAAGAUGUGACAGAACUUUCCAUGAAACCAACUGGUCCAGAAUCGAAGGACUCCUUCACAGAGACAAAUCCAUCUCCUUCAAAUACCCAGAUUCUAUUGGUGAGGGAAAGGCAACAUUUGAAAGACUGAGCAUUUUACCUAAAGGGAUUUUAAAAAAUCACCACAAUGGACUAUUAUCACAACUUGGAUUCAAAAUUUAUGGAUUUCCCUCCCUCUUGCUACCCAGAAGGUGG
ensembl:lncRNA novel transcript, antisense to ANTXR1